UACGUAGGGUGCAAGCGUUGUCCGGAAUUAUUGGGCGUAAAGAGCUCGUAGGCGGUUUGUCGCGUCGAAUGUGAAAACCCGGGGCUCAACCCCGGGCCUGCAUUCGAUACGGGCAGACUAGAGUUAGGUAGGGGAGAAUGGAAUUCCUGGUGUAGCGGUGGAAUGCGCAGAUAUCAGGAGGAACACCGAUGGCGAAGGCGCUCUGCUAGGCCGUAACUGACACUGAGGGACGAAAGCUAGGGGAGCGAAUGGG
rnacentral:rRNA from 1 species